rnacentral:lncRNA from 1 species
AAAAAUGUUACGCCAGUAGUGUUAACCUUACAGGAGAUCCAAUUUGUUGACGUAAACACGUAUGGAAUUGAAACGGGCCACGGACAGAAAUUGUUAUUUGCUUUGUCCACUGCUCCUAGGAAGAAAGGUUUGUCUGGGCUUGGCUUUUCUUCUGUUUUGGGUGAGCAUAUAGGCUUCAUUUCUCAAGCAAAAAUCCAAUCGAAGUAUUCACGAUGGAAC